UAGUAGUAGUAGUAGUAGUAGUUAGGACUAUUAGGUUUACAAUUAUCCUAGUUUGAGUUUGUUUAGGAUUCCUAAUUUAUUUUGGUUUUAUAUUCCUUAUUAGUUACAAAUAGGACUAGUUGAUAAAAUAUAAAUACCUAUGUCGUCUAGGUAUUUUAUUAGAGAGAGUUUAUUGUAAUAUUAUCGUUGACAUUGGCAAUUAAUAAAAUUUGAGAAUUUGUUUUGCAUCCCUUUGUUCCUAUCGGUUCUACGUCAUCUACCUUUUGUAAACUGUGAGAAUUUUAUCGGAACUUCUAAUAGGUAGAAUACUGCAAAAUGUCCUAUCUACAUGUGAACUAAG
rnacentral:misc_RNA from 1 species